rnacentral:ncRNA from 1 species
CCUAUUGAGUUUAAGCAUAUCAAUAAGCGGAGGAAAAGAAACUUACUAGGAUUCCUCUAGUAAUAACGAGCGAACUGGGAAUAGCCUAGCUUGAGAAUCGAGCCCCCUCAGUGUGUGAAUUGUAGUAUGGAGAAGUGUCCUCUGUGGCGGACUAGGUCCAAGCCCGUUGGAAAGGGGCGUUAGAGAGGGUGAAAGCCUAGUUGUGCUUGAAAUCUGUCAAACCACGAGGCAUUGUCUACAAGUUGAGUUGUUUAAGAAUGCAGCCCAAAUCAGGUAGUAAAUUUCCUCUAAGGCUUAAUAGGGGCAAGAGACCGAUAACAAAGACUACUUCGAGGGAAGAUGAAAAGAACUUUAAAAGGAGAGUCAUAAAGUACUUGAAAUUUUUAGGAGGGAAGCUAAUGGAGGUCGGCGAUGCACCUCGGUCGGAUGUGGAAUGGCCAAAAGCUAGUUCGUCGAUCGGCUCAGGGUGUGAAUCGAUGCAGAUUGCAGUGGCGGACCAAGUAUAUGCUUUUGACACGCCUGCAGAGACUCCAUCACAAUGAUUGUGGACUAUAGCGAGCGCCAUCAUAAUGUGCCUCGGCACCUGCGAGCUCUCUAUUCAACCUAUCUUCAAAUACGG